rnacentral:rRNA from 1 species
GUGCCUAAUACAUGCAAGUAGAACGCUGACUACUUUAGCUUGCUAGAGUAGAAGGAGUUGCGAACGGGUGAGUAACGCGUAGGUAACCUGCCUACUAGCGGGGGAUAACUAUUGGAAACGAUAGCUAAUACCGCAUAACAGUGUUUAACACAUGUUAGAUGCUUGAAAGAUGCAAAUGCAUCACUAGUAGAUGGACCUGCGUUGUAUUAGCUAGUUGGUGGGGUAACGGCCUACCAAGGCGACGAUACAUAGCCGACCUGAGAGGGUGAUCGGCCACACUGGGACUGAGACACGGCCCAGACUCCUACGGGAGGCAGCAGUAGGGAAUCUUCGGCAAUGGGGGCAACCCUGACCGAGCAACGCCGCGUGAGUGAAGAAGGUUUUCGGAUCGUAAAGCUCUGUUGUAAGAGAAGAACGUGUGUGAGAGUGGAAAGUUCACACAGUGACGGUAACUUACCAGAAAGGGACGGCUAACUACGUGCCAGCAGCCGCGGUAAUACGUAGGUCCCGAGCGUUGUCCGGAUUUAUUGGGCGUAAAGCGAGCGCAGGCGGUUUAAUAAGUCUGAAGUUAAAGGCAGUGGCUUAACCAUUGUUCGCUUUGGAAACUGUUAAACUUGAGUGCAGAAGGGGAGAGUGGAAUUCCAUGUGUAGCGGUGAAAUGCGUAGAUAUAUGGAGGA